rnacentral:rRNA from 1 species
AUUGAACGCUGGCGGCAUGCCUUACACAUGCAAGUCGAACGGCAGCGGACCUUCGGGUGCCGGCGAGUGGCGAACGGGUGAGUAAUAUAUCGGAACGUACCUUUCAGUGGGGGAUAACGUAGCGAAAGUUACGCUAAUACCGCAUAUUCUGUGAGCAGGAAAGCAGGGGAUCGCAAGACCUUGCGCUGAUUGAGCGGCCGAUAUCAGAUUAGCUAGUUGGUGAGGUAAAGGCUCACCAAGGCGACGAUCUGUAGCGGGUCUGAGAGGAUGAUCCGCCACACUGGAACUGAGACACGGUCCAGACUCCUACGGGAGGCAGCAGUGGGGAAUUUUGGACAAUGGGCGCAAGCCUGAUCCAGCCAUGCCGCGUGAGUGAAGAAGGCCUCGGUGUAAGA